AACGCAUAUUGCACCUCCUGGGUAACUGGGAGGUAUGUCUGUUUGAGUAUCAUUUUACUCUCUCCUCUAUUACUUUUGUAGUAGAGGGAUUUGGGUGUCACCUGAGGGCGACACCUUGAAUGAAGGGGCGUGCAACACUUAGCGCGAGAGAGUCUGAAAGGACGCAUAGCGCACCAGUCGCAUAAUCUUACCAUGCCAAACGCAGUGGUGAGGUUGAUGGUGCUGUAGUAUGUGUGUUCUGUAGGGCUUUCUUUGAGUUGUCCAAUGGAUGCGCUUUUAACGUGAUCUCAAAUCAGACAAGAGUACCCGCUGAACUUAA
rnacentral:misc_RNA from 1 species